AUUUAGUACCAAUUAUACAGUCAAAUUGAACCAUUUUUGCAGUAUUUUCUACUGUACAAUGUUUCACACUGCGUGCAAGUUCCUACUUACUAAAUAUAUUCAUCUCAAGGCUCAUACACAUCCAUUUUUAAAGUUUCUUCCCAGAACUGUGAAGAAGCUGAAAGGAGUCAUGAGUCAGACUGCUGUUUCCCUGUGUCAGCUGCAGAAUGUGCCACGCUCUCAUAUACAUAACAGAACUAGAGAGCGCAUGAUGCUCCCCGUUUCCAUCUAGUCUCCUACCAUAAUGUCUGCAACGUGAAACUACAUUCUAAUCAUCCGAACCCACACGAACGCAGAAAUCCAGCAGAUGUUUUCAUAGGAGAUGACGUGUCGCCAUAUGGUGUGUGUCUGCGAAAAGAGGGGAGUUCCUGAGCUGCGGCACUUUCCUCCCUCCCCAAAUGAAAUCAUUUUCACUUCAUUACAGUGUCAACCGCAUAAUAAGCUCCCUGAACAAAAGCAUGUGACACUGGGUUUGAGUGCAGAUAUUCACUGCAGCGGGCGCGGAUCAGGCUGUGAGCGUGCACGUACGUCCACAGAUGUUUGGUUUCCCGCACGUGCACGCUUACAGGUGAGGAGUAUUACUCACUCUGGCAGGUAUACCAUGGCCCCUGUAGUCCCACAGGCCCUUGUUACCCGGAGCUCUGUGCCCCUGUGUGACAUGUCUUCCACUCCAAGAACCAGGCCAAUUGUCUGUGCAGAGGUAGGUGGCGGUGGAGGCAGUGUGUGAGUGUGAGUGUGAGUGUGAGUGUGAGUGUGUGUGUGUGUGUGUGUGUGUGUGUGUGUGUGUGUGUCAGAGAGAGAGAGAGAGCUGAAAGCAUUUGGAUAGUGCAUGCAGGCAGCUGUUAACCCAGAUUUGGAGUAAUUCUGAGCUCUCCACGGUUCAGCACGGCAUAAUUGCCUGCGUGUGUGUGAGUGUGUGUGUGGGAAGAUGCAAGUCAUGGAUCACUGAUCGCUUACCAAGCCCUUCAAUUCACUUCUUGCAAGAGCAGCUCCAUCUUUAAAUAUUAUUUAUUUUACAAUAGUAUCGACGUGUGUGCGGUGAGGUGAACGUUGGGUAUUGAUCUGUGGCUACAGCUGCCUGGUUUAUCAAAGGAUGCUUUACUGCCGUUUCCAUGUCUUAAUUGAACAUCCAAAAAAAAGAAAAAGAAAUGCUAAGUGGAAUCAUAUUAAAUUAUAAAUAGAAAGAUAAAAUGUUGCAGCAUUGCAUUUGAGCAGGAGCCAAUUUGUUCUCCAGUUGGAAGAUGCAGAAAGGAAACCGGCCACCUCAGGAACAUUCCAAGUGAAACGCUGUCAUCUGCUGGACAUAUUUCACCCUGCACCUCUCCUCGCAAGGCAUGCUGGGAGGGAAGGGUCCAAUUUGAGCCAUUAUGGGCAAAGUGGAGUGAUGGGUAGAUCAUUCAGUCAAGAUAAAAAACACACACAUCUUCUCUAAAUUGCCCCAGCUGAAAUCUUUCUGCUAUUUCAAACCUAUAAUUGUGAUGAAUGGAGGACUGCACAAUUUCCUGCUAUUAGAUAAACUGCUGCUGUUAGCCUACUUACAAAGCUCUUUCUGUGGCUCCCAAAUGAGCAAUGAUUUAUUUUUUUUUUUUUUUAAAUUUGCAGUCUCUGAAUAACAGACCAAGCACCGGGUGGAUAUAUAAUAAAGGAUAUGCUGUGUCAUGUUAAUUUGUGCAGCAUGGUGUAGAUGAAAUCAGUUCAAAUAGACCGCAAUUCCUAUCAAAAUCAAAUUUUCGUACAUUUGGGAAUGUAUUGGCUGCAAAUACUUAGAAGAAUUAGUUUAUGAUAUUUUGCAUUUUAGAAAUUACAUGUUACAAAACUUCACUUCACUUGCUUUUUAAAACAUCUAUAUGAAGAUAUAACACCUAAAAAUGAUUGGUUCUCUUAAUUUUAAAGAAAGGAAGAAAGGAAAACAGGAAAUGGUCACGCAAGGUGAGGUCGAAAGGUAUUGUGGGUAAUGUGGUCUUGUUUUUGUUUAUUCCAAAGGACGGCGACAGCUCGUCUUCUCGAGCUUUAGGGGAUUUUUUUUUUGAGAUUGUUCAACCAGAUACCCUAGAAGAUGCGUUUGACACCAUCUUUGAGGGCGCUUGAAGGCCAUGGUGUAUCAGGUAACGGCGUCCUCUGCCACCUGGGAGCAGCAGGAAGACGAGAAGCAGCUCAGCGGCGCCUCCCGAUGCUGUUAAUGAAGCGAGGCGUCGAGCAAGUCCUCGCUGAGCAGAGACAUAUUUACUGAGGCUGUCAGGAGAGAGAGAUGGAAACCAAACCACCGAAAGUGACUGAUGAUCGUCUCCACAAGUCAGACUGAGCAUCAGUGGUAGGAAGCAGUGCUUCUCUUACUUUAGUUCUCUCAGAUUAACUCCUCCAAAGCCUGGGAACACAGGAGGCAGUGCUUUCUUGCUGUUUGUGC